AUUGAACGCUGGCGGCAGGCCUAACACAUGCAAGUCGAGCAGCGGCGGACGGGUGAGUAAUACGUGAGUAACCUGCCCUCCUUGUUGGGAUAAGCCUUGGAAACGGGGUCUAAUACCGACUAAAGGGGGAGUGGUUCGCGGCCUAUCAGCGUGUUGGGGGGGUGCUGGACUACCCAGGCGGUGACGGGUAGGCGGGCUGAGAGGGUGACCGGGCACAGUGGGACUGAGUGACGGCCCAGACUCCGACGGGGGGGAGCAGUGGGGGAUAUUGGACAAUGGGCGAAAGCGUGAUGCAGCGACGCCGCGUGGGGGAUGAAGGUUUUCGGGUUGUAAUCGUCUUUCGCUAUCGAACGGGUAGGUGGAGAAGAAGCGCCGGCUAACUACGUGCCAGCAGCGCGGUAAUAC
rnacentral:rRNA from 1 species